rnacentral:rRNA from 1 species
UUAAGCGACUAAGCGUACACGGUGGAUGCCCUGGCAGUCAGAGGCGAUGAAGGACGUGCUAAUCUGCGAUAAGCGUCGGUAAGGUGAUAUGAACCGUUAUAACCGGCGAUUUCCGAAUGGGGAAACCCAGUGUGUUUCGACACACUAUCAUUAACUGAAUCCAUAGGUUAAUGAGGCGAACCGGGGGAACUGAAACAUCUAAGUACCCCGAGGAAAAGAAAUCAACCGAGAUUCCCCCAGUAGCGGCGAGCGAACGGGGAGCAGCCCAGAGCCUGAAUCAGUGUGUGUGUUAGUGGAAGCGUCUGGAAAGGCGCGCGAUACAGGGUGACAGCCCCGUACACAAAAAUGCACAUGCUGUGAGCUCGAUGAGUAGGGCGGGACACGUGGUAUCCUGUCUGAAUAUGGGGGGACCAUCCUCCAAGGCUAAAUACUCCUGACUGACCGAUAGUGAACCAGUACCGUGAGGGAAAGGCGAAAAGAACCCCGGCGAGGGGAGUGAAAAAGAACCUGAAACCGUGUACGUACAAGCAGUGGGAGCACGCUUAGGCGUGUGACUGCGUACCUUUUGUAUAAUGGGUCAGCGACUUAUAUUCUGUAGCAAGGUUAACCGAAUAGGGGAGCCGAAGGGAAACCGAGUCUUAACUGGGCGUUAAGUUGCAGGGUAUAGACCCGAAACCCGGUGAUCUAGCCAUGGGCAGGUUGAAGGUUGGGUAACACUAACUGGAGGACCGAACCGACUAAUGUUGAAAAAUUAGCGGAUGACUUGUGGCUGGGGGUGAAAGGCCAAUCAAACCGGGAGAUAGCUGGUUCUCCCCGAAAGCUAUUUAGGUAGCGCCUCGUGAAUUCAUCUCCGGGGGUAGAGCACUGUUUCGGCAAGGGGGUCAUCCCGACUUACCAACCCGAUGCAAACUGCGAAUACCGGAGAAUGUUAUCACGGGAGACACACGGCGGGUGCUAACGUCCGUCGUGAAGAGGGAAACAACCCAGACCGCCAGCUAAGGUCCCAAAGUCAUGGUUAAGUGGGAAACGAUGUGGGAAGGCCCAGACAGCCAGGAUGUUGGCUUAGAAGCAGCCAUCAUUUAAAGAAAGCGUAAUAGCUCACUGGUCGAGUCGGCCUGCGCGGAAGAUGUAACGGGGCUAAACCAUGCACCGAAGCUGCGGCAGCGACGCUGAUGCGUUGUUGGGUAGGGGAGCGUUCUGUAAGCCUGCGAAGGUGUGCUGUGAGGCAUGCUGGAGGUAUCAGAAGUGCGAAUGCUGACAUAAGUAACGAUAAAGCGGGUGAAAAGCCCGCUCGCCGGAAGACCAAGGGUUCCUGUCCAACGUUAAUCGGGGCAGGGUGAGUCGACCCCUAAGGCGAGGCCGAAAGGCGUAGUCGAUGGGAAACAGGUUAAUAUUCCUGUACUUGGUGUUACUGCGAAGGGGGGACGGAGAAGGCUAUGUUGGCCGGGCGACGGUUGUCCCGGUUUAAGCGUGUAGGCUGGUUUUCCAGGCAAAUCCGGAAAAUCAAGGCUGAGGCGUGAUGACGAGGCACUACGGUGCUGAAGCAACAAAUGCCCUGCUUCCAGGAAAAGCCUCUAAGCAUCAGGUAACAUCAAAUCGUACCCCAAACCGACACAGGUGGUCAGGUAGAGAAUACCAAGGCGCUUGAGAGAACUCGGGUGAAGGAACUAGGCAAAAUGGUGCCGUAACUUCGGGAGAAGGCACGCUGAUAUGUAGGUGAAGCGACUUGCUCGUGGAGCUGAAAUCAGUCGAAGAUACCAGCUGGCUGCAACUGUUUAUUAAAAACACAGCACUGUGCAAACACGAAAGUGGACGUAUACGGUGUGACGCCUGCCCGGUGCCGGAAGGUUAAUUGAUGGGGUCAGCGCAAGCGAAGCUCUUGAUCGAAGCCCCGGUAAACGGCGGCCGUAACUAUAACGGUCCUAAGGUAGCGAAAUUCCUUGUCGGGUAAGUUCCGACCUGCACGAAUGGCGUAAUGAUGGCCAGGCUGUCUCCACCCGAGACUCAGUGAAAUUGAACUCGCUGUGAAGAUGCAGUGUACCCGCGGCAAGACGGAAAGACCCCGUGAACCUUUACUAUAGCUUGACACUGAACAUUGAGCCUUGAUGUGUAGGAUAGGUGGGAGGCUUUGAAGUGUGGACGCCAGUCUGCAUGGAGCCGACCUUGAAAUACCACCCUUUAAUGUUUGAUGUUCUAACGUGGACCCGUGAUCCGGGUUGCGGACAGUGUCUGGUGGGUAGUUUGACUGGGGCGGUCUCCUCCUAAAGAGUAACGGAGGAGCACGAAGGUUGGCUAAUCCUGGUCGGACAUCAGGAGGUUAGUGCAAUGGCAUAAGCCAGCUUGACUGCGAGCGUGACGGCGCGAGCAGGUGCGAAAGCAGGUCAUAGUGAUCCGGUGGUUCUGAAUGGAAGGGCCAUCGCUCAACGGAUAAAAGGUACUCCGGGGAUAACAGGCUGAUACCGCCCAAGAGUUCAUAUCGACGGCGGUGUUUGGCACCUCGAUGUCGGCUCAUCACAUCCUGGGGCUGAAGUAGGUCCCAAGGGUAUGGCUGUUCGCCAUUUAAAGUGGUACGCGAGCUGGGUUUAGAACGUCGUGAGACAGUUCGGUCCCUAUCUGCCGUGGGCGCUGGAGAACUGAGGGGGGCUGCUCCUAGUACGAGAGGACCGGAGUGGACGCAUCACUGGUGUUCGGGUUGUCAUGCCAAUGGCACUGCCCGGUAGCUAAAUGCGGAAGAGAUAAGUGCUGAAAGCAUCUAAGCACGAAACUUGCCCCGAGAUGAGUUCUCCCUGACCCUUUAAGGGUCCUGAAGGAACGUUGAAGACGACGACGUUGAUAGGCCGGGUGUGUAAGCGCAGCGAUGCGUUGAGCUAACCGGUACUAAUGAACCGUGAGGCUUAACCU